rfam:Gossypium hirsutum cultivar TM-1 chromosome 13, whole genome shotgun sequence
GGGUGUGAUCAUACCAGAACUAACGCAUCGUAUCCUAUCAGAACUCCGUAGUUAAGCAUGGUUGGGCAAGGGUAGAACUACGAUGGGUGACCUCCUAGAAAGUCCUCGUGUUGCACAUC